CCUACGGGAGGCAGCAGUGAGGAAUAUUGGUCAAUGGACGAGAGUCUGAACCAGCCAAGUAGCGUGAAGGAUGACUGCCCUAUGGGUUGUAAACUUCUUUUAUAUGGGAAUAAAAUGUUCAACGAGAGGGAUUUUGUAUGUACCAUAUGAAUAAGGAUCGGCUAACUCCGUGCAAGCAGAGGCGGUAAUACGGAGGAUCCGAGCGGUAUCCGGAUUUAUUGGGUUUAAAGGGAGCGUAGGUGGAUUGUUAAGUCAGUUGUGAAAGUUUGCGGCUCAACCGUAAAAUUGCAGUUGAAACUGGCAGUCUUGAGUACAGUAGAGGUGGGCGGAAUUCGUGGUGUAGCGGUGAAAUGCUUAGAUAUCACGAAGAACUCCGAUUGCGAAGGCAGUUCACUGGACUGCAACUGACACUGAGGCUCGAAAGUGUGGGUAUCAAACAGGAUUAGAUACCCUUGUAGUC
rnacentral:rRNA from 1 species